rfam:Garciella nitratireducens DSM 15102 genome assembly, contig: BP36DRAFT_scaffold00004.4
GACAGAGUAGGUUUAGGCGCGUAAAGUGCUGGAUAGACGGGAAGUUGCUAUCCAGACGAAAAACUUCUUAAAGUUUGCGAUGCCUUUACCGCAUUCCGCUGUC